AUUUAAUUAGUAUGUUGAAACUGGUAGAAAAUCAUAUUAACUUUGAGUUUGGCUCUCGUGGAGAAAAUGGAGCUCUUACUGUGAUCAGCCUACAGAAGGAUGACUUGGAGUUUCCCAGGUAACUUCUCCAGAUGAAGGAGAGCUCAUCCCACCUUCCUCGGGCGUCCAGAAUGACUUAAGAGGAUUGCCCAUUCCCAGCCCAAAUCUUCACACAUAUUUAUGUUUAGAAACCAAGGGAACAGGAACAGAUUCCCCAAAACUCUCGGCUUAAGGGGGUGGUGUAUGGUUUCUCCGUCUGCCUCUUGGACCAGCUGCCACAGAGGACCAGGGGUGAAGCCAAGCCCAGCUUUCUUCCUGAUUUGGGGCCAGACUCAGACGAUGUUGCCUUCUCCCGAGCUGGAAGGAAAGACGUAAGCUCGGUCUAUUACAAAAUUGCAUGUGUCAUUAGAAAAAGAUGUCAGAGUGCUUUAUUUAAAACUUUGUUUUCUCAGGUUGUAUUGCCCAAGUGUAUCUUGGCACAGACGAUCUCAGCUUCAAAAAUUCCAAGAUAUAUAAAGAGGUUCACAUAGCUGAAGCUAUUAUAGUUGGUUAUAUGCCACUGACACCUUUCCCCCCUUCGUUCUUGCAGAGAAGUGAAGUGAUGACUGAAUUUCUACUAAAAAAUUUGUUCUCUCCUCCGUGCAACCAUAGGAUCUAUUCUUGACAGAAUCAUUUACUUGUUCCAAAAAGAAAAAUGGAGAGUUCAUAGUGAUGUGGGGCCCUUGGGGAUUUCUUGGACAAGACCUGCAGAGUCAAAGAUUUCCACCAUUCUUUUAGAAGAAUGAUCUAGCAGCCUGUCCUGGUGAGCUUGCCAAAUUGCUCAUCCUUGGCUAAAAACCACAGGCCCUUGAAAGGAUUUUUUCCCCGUAGAACAAUAGAGCAUCACUUGACGGAAGGUGAGCACACUUGUGUGAUGUCUCUGGGCGCUUUUAUGGGCUGAGGAUAAGCUCUUGUAAAGGACCUGUAUCACCUGCCAGGUUGACACAUUCACAUCCACUUAGGCUGAAAAGAAGAUCACUUGUGAAGAAGAACAGACGUGCCUUUUUAAAACACAAGGCUUGCUUGGUUUUCAAUGCUAUUUGGGCUUAAGAUCCUGCCACCAAUGCCGAUUCUGAGUUGUGAUUUUAAUAUGCCAAUAAAAUGGAGUGAUGCCUAAGAGAAGCCAUCUGGCGAUGUGCGGAAGAGCAGGAAGCUAUUCCCGGGCCCAGCUGUGCCUGGUAUACAAUUCUUGUGAGUCAGAUGCUCGCUUUCUGCCCAGCUGGAGCCAAACAGCUCAGGGAUAGAUGGAAAAGAAGGGGAACUGCGUUCGGAGUUAGGACCCGAAGUCAAGGUGCAGAGCUGCCCUGAGUGAGUCCUGUGCCCUCAGGUGAGCCACGUUAAUCCUCAGAGGCGCCGCUCUCUCCAGCAAGAUGAGAGGCUCUUCUGUCCUGCGAUGCGAAUCUUCCGCAUCUUCCUUCGGGCUGUACCGCUCAAGGUGGCUGACCCGACUCUCCUUCCCAGCCCAGGGAGCCCAGGGAAGAGGCUAGCGGGCCCAGUGGUCAGUGUGCUGGGCUCCUGAGAAGGGCCAGGGAGCUAGGGCUUCAGAGAACACCCACACGGCACAGGAAGCCGAGACUGGGGCCUGGCUCCACCUUCCAUGCAGGAAAGGAAGCGAUGACCUCUCCUAUCGUGGGCGUCCCAGCUGCAGGAACGGCACACCCAACCCGGAUCCUAUGCUGGUUGCACCCACCUGUCACCUGUCAGAGAGAUGACAUACCCUCCUCAACUGAAUUCAAGAAAUUUGCCCAAUGCCUUUCACAUUCCGGAAACUGUGUUAGGUGCUAAGGACACAAAGUUGAGUGAAUCAAUCUCCGUCUUCAAAGAAUUCAUAGCUUAGUGGGGAGAAAGACGUAUAAGCAUCUAUAAAGCAGUAUACUGUGUGCUAUUAAAUCAAAGAUGCUAUCUGUGAUAAGAAAUCUUU